UGGCAGUCGAACGGUGAACAGGAAGCAGCUUGGUGCUUCGCUGACGAGUGGCGGACGGGUGAGUAAUGUCUGGGAAACUGCCUGAUGGAGGGGGAUAACUACUGGAAACGGUAGCUAAUACCGCAUAACGUCGCAAGACCAAAGAGGGGGACCUUCGGGCCUCUUGCCAUCGGAUGUGCCCAGAUGGGAUUAGCUAGUAGGUGGGGUAACGGCUCACCUAGGCGACGAUCCCUAGCUGGUCUGAGAGGAUGACCAGCCACACUGGAACUGAGACACGGUCCAGACUCCUACGGGAGGCAGCAGUGGGGAAUAUUGCACAAUGGGCGCAAGCCUGAUGCAGCCAUGCCGCGUGUAUGAAGAAGGCCUUCGGGUUGUAAAGUACUUUCAGCGGGGAGGAAGGGAGUAAAGUUAAUACCUUUGCUCAUUGACGUUACCCGCAGAAGAAGCACCGGCUAACUCCGUGCCAGCAGCCGCGGUAAUACGGAGGGUGCAAGCGUUAAUCGGAAUUACUGGGCGUAAAGCGCACGCAGGCGGUUUGUUAAGUCAGAUGUGAAAUCCCCGGGCUCAACCUGGGAACUGCAUCUGAUACUGGCAAGCUUGAGUCUCGUAGAGGGGGGUAGAAUUCCAGGUGUAGCGGUGAAAUGCGUAGAGAUCUGGAGGAAUACCGGUGGCGAAGGCGGCCCCCUGGACGAAGACUGACGCUCAGGUGCGAAAGCGUGGGGAGCAAACAGGAUUAGA
rnacentral:rRNA from 1 species